UAAUACGGAGGGUGCAAGCGUUAAUCGGAAUUACUGGGCGUAAAGCGCACGCAGGCGGUUUGUUAAGUCAGAUGUGAAAUCCCCGGGCUCAACCUGGGAACUGCAUUUGAAACUGGCAAGCUAGAGUCUCGUAGAGGGGGGUAGAAUUCCAGGUGUAGCGGUGAAAUGCGUAGAGAUCUGGAGGAAUACCGGUGGCGAAGGCGGCCCCCUGGACGAAGACUGACGCUCAGGUGCGAAAGCGUGGGGAGCAAACAGGAUUAGAUACCCUGGUAGUCCACGCUGUAAACGAUGUCGAUUUGGAGGUUGUGCCCUUGAGGCGUGGCUUCCGGAGCUAACGCGUUAAAUCGACCGCCUGGGGAUACGGCCGCAAGGUUA
rnacentral:rRNA from 1 species